AUACGGAGGAUGCGAGCGUUAUCCGGAUUCAUUGGGUUUAAAGGGUGCGUAGGCUGUUUUUCAAGUCAGAGGUGAAAGCCCGGGGCUUAACUCCGGAACUGCCUUUGAUACUGGGAGGCUUGAAUGCUGUUGCCGUGGGAGGAAUGAGUAGUGUAGCGGUGAAAUGCAUAGAUAUUACUCAGAACACCGAUUGCGAAGGCAUCUCACGAAGCAGUGAUUGACGCUGAGGCACGAAAGCGUGGGGAUCAAACAGGAUUAGAUACCCUGGUAGUCCACGCGGUAAACGAUGAAUACUAGGUGUUGGGGGUCUAUAGACCCUCGGUGCCGCAGCAAACGCAAUAAGUAUUCCACCUGGGGAGUACGUUCGCAGGAAUGAAACUCAAAGGAAUUGACGGGG
rnacentral:rRNA from 1 species